GACGAACGCUGGCGGCGUGCUUAACACAUGCAAGUCGAACGGAAAGGCCCUGCUUUUGUGGGAUGCUCGAGUGGCGAACGGGUGAGUAACACGUGAGUAACCUGCCCUUGACUUUGGGAUAACUUCAGGAAACUGGGGCUAAUACCGGAUAGGAGCUCCUGCUGCAUGGUGGGGGUUGGAAAGUGUCGGCGGUUGGGGAUGGACUCGCGGCUUAUCAGCUUGUUGGUGGGGUAGUGGCUUACCAAGGCUUUGACGGGUAGCCGGCCUGAGAGGGUGACCGGCCACAUUGGGACUGGGAUACGGGCCAGACUCCUACGGGAGGCAGCAGUGGGGAAUAUUGCACAAUGGGCGGAAGCCGGAUGCAGCAACGCCGCGUGCGGGAUGACGGCCUUCGGGUUGUAAACCGCUUUCGCCUGUGACGAAGCGUGAGUGACGGUAAUGGGUAAAGAAGCACCGGCUAACUACGUG
rnacentral:rRNA from 1 species